UGGGGAAUAUUGGACAAUGGGCGAAAGCCUGAUCCAGCAAUGCCGCGUGAGUGAUGAAGGCCUUAGGGUUGUAAAGCUCUUUUAGCAGGGAAGAUAGUGACGGUACCUGCAGAAAAAGCCCCGGCUAACUUCGUGCCAGCAGCCGCGGUAAUACGAAGGGGGCUAGCGUUAUUCGGAUUUACUGGGCGUAAAGCGCGCGUAGGUGGUUCGCCAAGUUAGAAGUGAAAGCCCAAGGCUUAACCUUGGAAUUGCUUUUAAAACUAGCGGACUAGAGAACGAUAGAGGACAGUGGAAUUCCUAGUGUAGAGGUGAAAUUCUUAGAUAUUAGGAGGAACACCGGUGGCGAAAGCGACUGUCUGGGUCGUUUCUGACACUGAGGCGCGAAAGCGUGGGGAGCAAA
rnacentral:rRNA from 1 species